GUGUCAGCAGCCGCGGUAAUACGGAGGGUGCAAGCGUUAUCCGGAUUUACUGGGUUUAAAGGGUGCGUAGGCGGGUUGAUAAGUCAGGGGUGAAACCUCCGAGCUUAACUCGGAAACUGCCUUUGAUACUAUCAGUCUUGAAUUCAGUUGAGGUGGGCGGAAUGUGUCGUGUAGCGGUGAAAUGCUUAGAUAUGACACAGAACACCAAUUGCGAAGGCAGCUCGCUAAACUGACAUUGACGCUGAGGCACGAAAGCGUGGGGAGCAAACAGGAUUAGAAACCCCGGUAGUCC
rnacentral:rRNA from 1 species